UACGAAGGGGGCUAGCGUUGCUCGGAUUUACUGGGCGUAAAGGGCGCGUAGGCGGUUCGUACAGUCAGACGUGAAAUUCCUGGGCUCAACCUGGGGGCUGCGUUUGAUACGUGCGGACUUGAGUGCGGAAGAGGGUCGUGGAAUUCCCAGUGUAGAGGUGAAAUUCGUAGAUAUUGGGAAGAACACCGGUGGCGAAGGCGGCGACCUGGUCCGAUACUGACGCUGAGGCGCGAAGGCGUGGGGAGCAAACAGG
rnacentral:rRNA from 1 species